AUUGAACGCUGGCGGCAGGCCUAACACAUGCAAGUCGAGCGGAUGAAGGGAGCUUGCUCCUGGAUUCAGCGGCGGGCGGGUGAGUAAUGCCUAGGAAUCUGCCUGGUAGUGGGGGAUAACGUCCGGAAACGGGCGCUAAUACCGCAUACGUCCUGAGGGAGAAAGUGGGGGAUCUUCGGACCUCACGCUAUCAGAUGAGCCUAGGUCGGAUUAGCUAGUUGGUGGGGUAAAGGCCUACCAAGGCGACGAUCCGUAACUGGUCUGAGAGGAUGAUCAGUCACACUGGAACUGAGACACGGUCCAGACUCCUACGGGAGGCAGCAGUGGGGAAUAUUGGACAAUGGGCGAAAGCCUGAUCCAGCCAUGCCGCGUGUGUGAAGAAGGUCUUCGGAUUGUAAAGCACUUUAAGUUGGGAGGAAGGGCAGUAAGUUAAUACCUUGCUGUUUUGACGUUUCCAACAGAAUAAGCACCGGCUAACUUCGUG
rnacentral:rRNA from 1 species